rnacentral:rRNA from 1 species
AUUGAACGCUGGCGGCAGGCUUAACACAUGCAAGUCGAGCGGGGAAAGGUAGCUUGCUACCUGACCUAGCGGCGGACGGGUGAGUAAUGCUUAGGAAUCUGCCUAUUAGUGGGGGACAACAUUCCGAAAGGAAUGCUAAUACCGCAUACGCCCUACGGGAGAAAGCAGGGGACCUUCGGACCUUGCGCUAAUAGAUGAGCCUAAGUCAGAUUAGCUAGUUGGUGCGGUAAAGGCCUACCAAGGCGACGAUCUGUAGCGGGUCUGAGAGGAUGAUCCGGCACACUGGGACAGAGACACGGCCCAGACUCCUACGGGAGGCAGCAGUGGGGAAUAUUGGAGGAUGGGCGCAAGCCUGAUCCAGCCAUGCCGCGUGUGUGAAGAAGGCCUUUUGGUUGUAAAGCACUUUAAGCGAGGAGGAGGCUACUUGGAUUAAUACUCUAGGAUAGUGGACGUUACUCGCAGAAUAAGCACCGGCUAACUCUGUGCCAGCAGCCGCCGUAACAC